GUCUUUUUAAAUGUCAAUGAGUCGUCUAUCUUUUCUGGUGAUUAUUACCACUCGAUCUUGAUGUGCGCCAUCCUGUUCAAUAUUCGCUUGCCAGUUGGUAUCAUCAAAUAAUGAUUUCACUAUUUUAGCUUGAUGAGUGCUACCGAUUUCAAAAACUAUUAAGGAUAAAGGUACAAAAUCCUUGGCGUUUCUUUGUAACAUCCUUUUUAUGUACUGACUAAAUUUGUAAUAAAACUCAUUACCUCCGUUUUUAGCUAAAAGAGCCAGCUUGGGCUCGUAUUUGCGCACAGAAAUGUCGGUUUGUGCAGCAAAAUCAUCAUCAGAUAUAUAAGGAGGAUUGCAUAGCAACACGUGGCUUGUUUGAAGCAGGCUCUCUACUCUUUCAUGUUCGUUUAAAACAUCAAUUUGAUGAAAAUUGAUUUUCCCAACCGUUCCAUGUGCUAUCGCCCUGUCGCAGUUCUUCACCGCAAGCUUCAAUGCUUUCUUAGAAACAUCAACGGCUUCAAUAGUAUGCGGAACCCUUAGGUUUGCCAACACAAAGCUUGAUAUGCAGCCAGACCCUGUACAUAAAUCGAGAAUCUUUAACGGUUUUAAUCUCUCGAGUCGAUUUAGCUUAUCAACCACACGUUCAACCCAUUCUUCUGUUUCCCAACGAGGUAUUAAAACUCCUUGUUGACAAUCUAUCUUGAUAUUACCAAAAGGUUGACUUUUCAGUAUAUACUGAAGUGGAUAGUUUCUUGCUCGAAGUUGACAGGCAUUUACUAUCUUUUUUCGCAACCCAUGUUUGCUAAUUUCUGGAUACAGCAGCUUUAAUUCCUUGCAUAUCCACGUCCACUCUCUUUUAGCCAAAGAUGGAUCUCUUGUGGCAUGAUAAAGAGGGAGUAGGCAAGGGUUUUCUCGAUAUAAAGCAAAUUUAGUAAUUCUUGGUAGUCGCAUAUGACAAACACUAUAAUUAGGAGGACAAAUUAUCUCAAAUUACUUUUAUCUGAUUAUUUGCUUGAAUGAAGUAUAGCAGAAUUAACGAACGUAAAUAUAAAUCAAAUUCUGUUGUCUAUUGUACGA